rnacentral:rRNA from 1 species
UACGGGGGGGGCAAGCGUUGUUCGGAAUUACUGGGCGUAAAGGGCUCGUAGGCGGCCAACUAAGUCAGACGUGAAAUCCCUCGGCUUAACCGGGGAACUGCAUCUGAUACUGGAUGGCUUGAGUUCGGGAGAGGGAUGCGGAAUUCCAGGUGUAGCGGUGAAAUGCGUAGAUAUCUGGAGGAACACCGGUGGCGAAGGCGGCAUCCUGGACCGACACUGACGCUGAGGAGCGAAAGCCAGGGGAGGCAAACGGG